GCAUAAAAAAUCAAUAUUUUAUUCACUCAUUUCUUCCUCCACGCAAACCCAAUUCCAUUCUUCUUCUUCUUCUCCAUCGAUCAAUUCUCUCUUCUCUUUUCAUCGUAUUUCCACCGCCCUUGAACAACAAGUUGUGAGUAAGUUUUGUUCUCAUAGCUGAACCUUCGCUUUUCACGUCUCUCUCUGCGCCGUUUCCUUUUGUGGGUCGCUGGUAUUGGGUUUGGCCGUUUCAAUUUUGUGUGGCUCCUGAUUGAAUCACUCUUCUUCGUUUGGUGUAAGGGAAUUGGGUUUGAUCAAGGAGUAUUGUUUAUGUGCUUAAACCUUGUUUCGGCCUCUCUCGGUUGAGUAUAGAUUACUCUCUACUCUGUGUUUGAGUGCUUUCUCAUAUUGCUAAGCAUGUGCUGCAUUAUCUAUAGAUCCUGCCUGAUGCGGGCAUCAAAUCCACUGCUCAUAAAGUAGACAAGACUUUCCAUGUUUGGACUCGGAUGAACCUAGACGACAUCAAACUCAUGGUUCGUUUUAUUCAGUAGGAUGUCUCCAAACAAAGGCCACCACUUAAGCCUCUUUAUCAGCUAAUAAAGAUGUGGAUCAAAGGAUUUGUAGCUGCAUUCUCGUGAGGCACUUCGCUCUUAAUACCCCCACGUGGUAAAACAGGUAAUGGACUGGCUUUGUUGAUCAAUCGGCAGUCUUUACAAAUGAUGAGUACAGGGUAAAAGGCUCCAAACGUAUUCAACUUUUUAAAAUGGCAAGUGAUUGAGCUAUCUAACUGCGAUUGAGCUAUCUAACUGCGGUGAAGUACCAAGUCCCGGCAGAGAGAACCCGUCUGGACUUUUUAACGGAGAGAGCUUAACUGUUCAGCCCAUUUCUGAUUUGGAUCUCUUCUUCGAGAGGCUCUACAGCUACUACAUAGACAAAGGCCUCUGGUGUAUUAUAGUAAAGUGGGCUGUUGAGCUUCUAAGCCUUGGCUUUAUCAUGUGUCUCUGGUACUAUAACAGUGGUAUUAGCGUGGUCUUAAGAAUGCAAAAUGUGGAAUGGAUGUUGUUGAAUCUGGGACUAAGCCAUGCGAUCUUGUCAAAGAGGUUAUCCAUGAGCAUCCUUUGUCCCCUUUCACGCUCACAAUGGCUAUCAUCGUUGGAUAUUUGGCUCUCUUCUCUGUCUACUGGCUCUUCUGCUUCUUAAGGUUCUUCGCCCAGUUGAAGGAUACUUUGGACUCCCGGCACUUUUACUACAACAGACAACGAAAUCCUGACUAUGCCAUGGGAAACAGUCCUUGAAAAGGUUGUUCAGUUACAAAGCUCACAGCGCCUUUGCAUGGUGAAGGAUCUUUCAGCUCAUGAUAUUGUUAUGCACCUUAUGCGGAAAGAAAACUACUUGAUCAGAAUGGUCAACAAAGGUUUGCUUUCUUUCCCGAUCUCCCAUUGGAUCCCUGGUGCUGCUCCUGUAGUCAAAUCUGCUCCACAUGGGACGCAACAUCACCACCUUGUAUUGACAAAGACCCUUGAGUGGACCCUGAACUGCUGCAUAUUGCAGAGCAUGUUUGACUGGUAUGCUAUCCUCCCACGCUAUUCUUUGAUCAAACUUUACUCCUUCCGUUUAACAAAUAUAUACUUAUAUAUUCUUAAAUAUUAACCGUUGUUACUUGUAAUUCACAUGAUAUUAAUGUGUGUUAGUUUGUUUGAUACAUAUGUUUUACAUGAUACUUCUAAACAUAUAUUAU